UACGUAGGGUGCAGGCGUUAAUCGGAAUUACUGGGCGUAAAGCGUGCGCAGGCGGUUUCUUAAGUCAGAUGUGAAAGCCCCGGGCUUAACCUGGGAACUGCGUUUGAAACUGGGAGACUCGAGUGUGGCAGAGGGGGGUGGAAUUCCACGUGUAGCAGUGAAAUGCGUAGAUAUGUGGAGGAACACCGAUGGCGAAGGCAGCCCCCUGGGUUAACACUGACGCUCAUGCACGAAAGCGUGGGGAGCAAACAGG
rnacentral:rRNA from 1 species